GUGAAAUUUCAGUUAUGAAACAUGUAGCCUCCAAAUCCAACUUGACAUUUAAAAUUAUAUGUCACUGCUAUGAAAGUUCUUUCUACUUAUUUGAAAAUGAUUUGACAAAGGAAUAAAAGGCUGAUGGGGAUAAAACAUUCUCAACCUUACUUGCUUUCAUAAAGAUAUAAUGGCAAUAGAUAUUUGAAAUAACAAAAAUUUUAAGUGAAUGUGAAAAUAAACUAAUCUUGGUAUAUAUUCAAAAUUUCUCUUUCAUUAUUUUGCACAACGUAGUAUGCCCAGAGUUCAACUUCAUCCUCUCUAAUAAAUGUAUUAAAAAAACAUGAAAGAGAAGUAUGAAGUUUUGGUAUUUUGUGUUGCUUAUUUAUUAAAUCUUAAUGAUUAGUUAGAUUAUAUAAUAUGUGAUAGAUUUGAAGGACAACAUGCAGCAUUGAGUUAAUGAAUUAAAAUAAGUUGUUUCUUUAGAGUAUGGCUUGUAAGUAGCAAUAGAGACUUGACAAUUGUAUUAUUAGGCCAGUUUAUAAAUAAUACACUUUAGAAUCUGAUCCAACACAAGUUUGUAUAUUCAGUU
rnacentral:lncRNA from 1 species